UGGAUCCAGACUUUGAUCAUGGCUCAGGAUGAACGCUAGCUACAGGCUUAACACAUGCAAGUCGAGGGGAAACGACAUCGAAAGCUUGCUUUUGAUGGGCGUCGACCGGCGCACGGGUGAGUAACGCGUAUCCAACCUGCCCACCACUUGGGGAUAACCUUGCGAAAGUAAGACUAAUACCCAAUGACGUCUCUAGAAGACAUCUGAAAGAGAUUAAAGAUUUAUCGGUGAUGGAUGGGGAUGCGUCUGAUUAGCUUGUUGGCGGGGUAACGGCCCACCAAGGCAACGAUCAGUAGGGGUUCUGAGAGGAAGGUCCCCCACAUUGGAACUGAGACACGGUCCAAACUCCUACGGGAGGCAGCAGUGAGGAAUAUUGGUCAAUGGACGAGAGUCUGAACCAGCCAAGUAGCGUGCAGGAUGACGGCCCUAUGGGUUGUAAACUGCUUUUAUAAGGGAAUAAAGUGAGUCUCGUGAGACUUUUUGCAUGUACCUUAUGAAUAAGGACCGGCUAAUUCCGUGCCAGCAGCCGCGGUAAUACGGAAGGUCCGGGCGUUAUCCGGAUUUAUUGGGUUUAAAGGGAGCGUAGGCCGGAGAUUAAGCGUGUUGUGAAAUGUAGACGCUCAACGUCUGCACUGCAGCGCGAACUGGUUUCCUUGAGUACGCACAAAGUGGGCGGAAUUCGUGGUGUAGCGGUGAAAUGCUUAGAUAUCACGAAGAACUCCGAUUGCGAAGGCAGCUCACUGGAGCGCAACUGACGCUGAAGCUCGAAAGUGCGGGUAUCGAACAGGAUUAGAUACCCUGGUAGUCCGCACGGUAAACGAUGGAUGCCCGCUGUUGGUCUGAAUAGGUCAGCGGCCAAGCGAAAGCAUUAAGCAUCCCACCUGGGGAGUACGCCGGCAACGGUGCAACUCAAAGGAAUUGACGGA
rnacentral:rRNA from 1 species